rnacentral:rRNA from 1 species
AUUGAACGCUGGCGGCAUGCCUUACACAUGCAAGUCGAACGGUAACAGGUCUUCGGAUGCUGACGAGUGGCGAACGGGUGAGUAAUACAUCGGAACGUGCCCGAUCGUGGGGGAUAACGAAGCGAAAGCUUUGCUAAUACCGCAUACGAUCUACGGAUGAAAGCGGGGGAUCUUCGGACCUCGCGCGGACGGAGCGGCCGAUGGCAGAGUAGGUAGUUGGUGGGAUAAAAGCUUACCAAGCCGACGAUCUGUAGCUGGUCUGAGAGGAUGAUCAGCCACACUGGGACUGAGACACGGCCCAGACUCCUACGGGAGGCAGCAGUGGGGAAUUUUGGACAAUGGGCGCAAGCCUGAUCCAGCCAUGCCGCGUGCAGGAUGAAGGCCUUCGGGUUGUAAACUGCUUUUGUACGGAACGAAAAGGUGCCUUCUAAUAAAGGGCGCUCAUGACGGUACCGUAAGAAUAAGCACCGGCUAACUACGUG